GGUAAUUUAGCUCAGCGGCAUAAGCACCUGCCUUGCAAGCAGGCGGUCGUGAGUUCAAUCCCCACUACCG
rfam:Cavia porcellus supercont2_283 genomic scaffold, whole genome shotgun sequence.